AGCCAGACUCCUACGGGAGGCAGCAGUGGGGAAUAUUGCACAAUGGGCGAAAGCCUGAUGCAGCAACGCCGCGUGAGCGAUGAAGGCCUUCGGGUCGUAAAGCUCUGUCCUCAAGGAAGAUAAUGACGGUACUUGAGGAGGAAGCCCCGGCUAACUACGUGCCAGCAGCCGCGGUAAUACGUAGGGGGCAAGCGUUAUCCGGAUUUACUGGGUGUAAAGGGAGCGUAGACGGCAUGGCAAGUCAGGAGUGAAAGCCCGGGGCUCAACCCCGGGACUGCAUUUGGAACUGUGCUGCUAGAGUGUCGGAGAGGCAGGCGGAAUUCCUAGUGUAGCGGUGAAAUGCGUAGAUAUUAGGAGGAACACCAGUGGCGAAGGCGGCUUACUGGACUGUAACUGACGUUGAGGCUCGAAAGCGUGGGGAGCAAACAGGAUUAGAUACCCCAGUAA
rnacentral:rRNA from 1 species